GACGUAGGGCGCGAGCGUUGUCCGGAAUUAUUGGGCGUAAAGAGCUCGUAGGCGGCUUGUUGCGUCGACUGUGAAAACCCGCGGCUCAACCGUGUGGCUUGCAGUCGAUACGGGCAGGCUAGAGUUCGGUAGGGGAGACUGGAAUUCCUGGUGUAGCGGUGAAAUGCGCAGAUAUCAGGAGGAACACCGGUGGCGAAGGCUGGUCUCUGGGCCGAUACUGACGCUGAGGAGCGAAAGCGUGGGGAGCGAACAGG
rnacentral:rRNA from 1 species